AAUGCUGACCCUUCUUGUCCUUGUGGUUUCAAUAUGGCUGACCUCUCCCUGGACACUGACCUCUGGUCAAGCAGCCAUGACUCAGCACAAACGUCCGGCCAGGUGGAUGUCGUCUCCCGAGUCAAAGCUGGGACUUGCUAGAGUUAGACAAUGUGGGAGGCAGUCUUCUCAUCCACCCUGCCUGUCAGGGUCAACCGGGGCUGAAAGAUCAAAAUACUCAAUAAAAAUAUUUCCCCACA